rnacentral:misc_RNA from 1 species
GAAAUGCGAUACGUAGUGUGAAUUGCAGAAUUCAGUGAAUCAUCGAAUCUUUGAACGCACAUUGCGCCCUUUGGUAUUCCAAAGGCAUGCCUGUUCGAGCGUCAUUUGUACCCUCAAGCUUUGCUUGGUGUUGGGCGUUUUUUGUCUUUGGCUCGCCCAAAGACUCGCCUUAAAACGAUUGGCAGCCGGCCUACUGGUUUCGCAGCGCAGCACAUUUUUGCGCUUGCAAUCAGCAAAAGAGGACGGCAAUCCAUCAAGACUCCUUCUCACGUUUGACCUCGGAUCAGGUAGGGAUACCCGCUGAACUUAAGC